UAAGAAGUAUGGGAAAUGAAACUGGUCUGAAGCAAGCAUUCCCUCAUGCCUGAAAUGUUAUUAACAUUGCCGCGGAACACUUUUGUUGAAAGACCCUGCACAGUGUCCUUGAAUGUGAGUGGAAUCUGGGAAUACGGUACACUAUCAUUCUUGUGAUGCUGCUAUAUUCUACAGAAAAUGGAAGCUUAUUCCAAUGGAACGCUGCCCCAGGGAAGCUCAUCAGAGCAGUGCAUUUGGUUCUAUUGGCUCAGAAAGCAGAAUCAGAGAGCAGCCUUCCAGUGGCCUGCCGAGAGACAUGAACAUUGCACAGACCUCUGGGAACAUAACUGAAGGAGCCGUGGUGGCCUUGGGAGCUGAGUGUGACAUCAGGCUGGCAGCUAGCAAGAACAACGUAGGGUACCUGCUCUACCAUAGGAGCUGAAUCCUGCCAACCGGCCAACGACUCUUGGCAACAUAGCGGCGGCCUUUAUUACAGCUUGGGAGACUCUAAGCAGAGGGACCCAGUUUAUUUGGCCACAUACUUCUGCUCUUCUGAAAGCCUGUGGCAAUAAGUUAGCCUUGUUUUAGCUUCCUGUUUAUGCUAAUUGGUUCCCAGCGGCAGAAUACUAAUCUCCUCCCCAGACUUCCUCAGCACCUUUCUUCUGCCCUCUGAUACACCCAUCUCUUCUCUUAAUUGCUGCUGGCUGCUGCAAAGCCCGACUGCAUAAAUCAUUAUAGUGCAGGAUUUGGAAGAGUCUCUCUCCUUCAAGACUCCCUUUAGAAGGCUGCCAGAAGAAGGUGUGGCCCAGAUUAAAAGCAGAUCUCCCCACCCCAAAAGAUGCAGAUUAAAGAGGCUACAAAACCGUAGAAGCAUUUACACAUACUGCAAGAUGUGAGACUUAUGUUAAGAGACUGGGAAUCAACACUGGCGGUUACAGCGGUUGUCAUCUUCUGCCUUGCUGCCGUCUUCCUCGGCUGAUAGAUAUUCCAGUCAGGUGCCUCAGAGGCACACUGGUCUGUAUCCUGACAGGCAAUGUGCAUAUUGGCUCCAGAUGACUGGAUGGAAGAAUGCAGCCGUCCUCCAAGCUGUAAACACAAGAGUGUGGCAUCUAUUCGCUUGGGUCUCCUCCUUGGCUGUCGUCAUAUCAAUAUGUGGUGGGUUUUCUAAGGAGAAUUCCAUCCAUAUCUGUCUUUGUAUGCAGAAUCCAGGAAGUCUGGGCUUUCUCACUGGCUUGGUUGCAGACACACCGAACAUGGGCGAGUUGCCUCCGUCUUUGUCUAUGCCUCUCACCCUCACCCUCAGACAAUGUCUGCAGAAUGUUGGAUGGUCCUUGCUGGUACGCAGUAUGUACUUGCAAACUGUUCAGGUUUUCUUUUCUGUCCUAAAUUUCUUAUUCUUUUUUCUUAGAGAAACCUAGUUUUAAUUUUAAAGCAUCUUAAAGCACGGGCGCGUGACAAUACAAACUCAUUUUAGUUUUAGAAGGUAUUUUUAAAUAAAAAGUCCAGUCCGAUGGCAUGCUCCAGAGGUACAGCUUGACAUUUUCCUCUGAUGCAAAUGCCCACAAUAACAAUUUACCAUCGCCUUAAUUUUUAUGAUCAAGCCCAAAGGAUGUAUGUAUUGUGUCCCUUUAGAAAGAUAAGGCUCUUGGCUUAUUUGUACUCCACCCUUAAAAACUGCCAGAUUUUUUUUUCUGUUCUUUGAAACACUUCUAGAGAUGUAAAUGGUACCUCCAACCUUCUGUCUCCCAGUUUAUUACCUUGGCAACACUUCUUGCUGUUCCUCUAAGACAAUAGGAGGUUUAACAGCUCGGCCUUCCUGUCCCAUCUCUCCCUUAUGGCUACUCAUAGAUUGGCUUCAGUUCAUCAGAUAGUUAAUUUUACAUGGUCAAAAUUCAUAUAAUGUUUACAAUAUUUUAUGCACUCACUUGCUUUUUCUGUGUUUUGGUUGUUUUUGAGGUUUAGAAAUAGAAUUUCUAGUAUUUUUGUUAAGAGAAUAUUAUAUAAUAUGUAACAAGUGUCAUUCUGUUCAAAUAAAAAUAUGUAUUGAUUACA